rnacentral:misc_RNA from 1 species
GUGUGUGUGUGUGUGUGUAUAACAUUUUAAUUCUGUGUAUAUGAUCGAUCUAAGCAUUUCUUAUGUUGAAGUUGUAACUAGUCAGAAGAUUUGUGGAGGUUUUUUGGACUGAAGUUGAAUAUUUUGUUGAUUAAUACUAUUUCAAUCCUUUUAUUAUUCCAAAAACCAUAAUGCUACUGAACUAUAAUCAUUGCUCUUCUUGUAGUUUCUUUCAUGCUAAUGAUAUUAUUUUUCUAAAUGCUAUUUUUGUUGGUAUUGUAGGUUUCUUUCUAAUGCAUUUUUUCCCCUUUUUCUGGAUACUUUAUAUAAGUACAUGUAAAUUAAAUUUCAUUCCUUUCUCUUAUCCUAUUGCAGUUGACUGGCCUAUCAGAUGG